rnacentral:rRNA from 1 species
GACGAACGCUGGCGGCGUGCUUAACACAUGCAAGUCGAACGGACAGGCCCUGCUUGCAGGGUACUCGAGUGGCGAACGGGUGAGUAACACGUGGGUGAUCUGCCCUGCACUUCGGGAUAAGCCUGGGAAACUGGGUCUAAUACCGGAUAGGAGCCAUUUUUAGUGUGUUGGUUGGAAAGUUUUUUUCGGUGUAGGAUGAGCUCGCGGCCUAUCAGCUUGUUGGUGGGGUAGUGGCCUACCAAGGCGGCGACGGGUAGCCGGACUGAGAGGGUGGACGGCCACAGUGGGACUGGGAUUCGGCCCAGACUCCGACGGGAGGCAGCAGUGGGGAAUAUUGCACAAUGGGCGCAAGCCUGAUGCAGCGACGCCGCGUGGGGGAUGACGGCCUUCGGGUUGUAAACUCCUUUCGCUAGGGACGAAGCUUUUUGUGACGGUACCUAGAUAAGAAGCACCGGCUAACUACGUG